GACGAACGCUGGCGGCGUGCUUAACACAUGCAAGUCGAACGAAGUGGCGAACGGGUGAGUAACGCGUAAUCAACCUGCCCUUCAGAGGGGGACAACAGUUGGAAACGACUGCUAAUACCGCAUACUGAAGGAGGGGAUUGCGUCUGAUUAGCUAGUUGGAGGGGUAACGGCCCACCAAGGCGAUGCUCAGUAGGCGGUCUGGGGUGAUGAACGGCCAAAUGGGGACUGAGACACGACCCAGACUUCUACGGGAGGGCGCAGUGGGGAAUCUUCCGAAAUGGACGAAAGGCUGACGGAGCAACGCCGCGUGAGUGAUGACGGCCUUCGGGUUGUAAAGCUCUGUUAAUCGGGACGCGGUACCGGAAUAGAAAGCCACGGCUAACUACGUGCCAGCAGCCGCGGUAAUUC
rnacentral:rRNA from 1 species